UACGUAGGGGGCAAGCGUUGUCCGGAAUCAUUGGGCGUAAAGAGCGCGUAGGCGGCCCUGUAAGUCGGCUGGGAAAGUCAAGGGCUCAACCCUUGGAUGCCGGUGGAUACUGCAGGGCUAGAGUCCGGAAGAGGCGAGUGGAAUUCCUGGUGUAGCGGUGAAAUGCGCAGAUAUCAGGAGGAACACCGAUGGCGAAGGCAGCUCGCUGGGACGGUACUGACGCUGAGGCGCGAAAGCUAGGGGAGCAAACGGG
rnacentral:rRNA from 1 species